rnacentral:rRNA from 1 species
CCUACGGGGAGCAGCAGUGAGGAAUAUUGGUCAAUGGGAGAGAUCCUGAACCAGCCAAGCCGCGUGAGGGAAGACGGCCCUAUGGGUUGUAAACCUCUUUUGUCGGAGAACAAAGGCGGGGACUAGUCCCCGGAUGAGGGUACCUGAAGAAAAAGCAUCGGCUAACUCCGUGCCAGCCGCCGCGGUAAUACGGAGGAGGCGAGCGUUAUCCGGAUUUAUUGGGUUUAAAGGGUGCGCAGGCGGCCUGUUAAGUCAGCGGUAAAAGCCCGGGGCUCAACCCCGGCGAGCCGUUGAAACUGGCGGGCUGGAGUUGGAGAGAAGUACGCGGAAUGCGCGGUGUAGCGGUGAAAUGCUUAGAUAUCGCGCAGAACCCCGAUUGCGAAGGCAGCGUACCGGCUCCACACUGACGCUGAGGCACGAAAGCGUGGGUAUCGAACAGGAUUAGAUACCCGGGUAGUC